GUGAACGCUGGCGGUAGGCCUAACACAUGCAAGUCGAACGGCAGCACAGUAAGAGCUUGCUCUUACGGGUGGCGAGUGGCGGACGGGUGAGGAAUACAUCGGAAUCUACUUUUUCGGGGGGGAUAACGUAGGGAAACUUACGCUAAUACCGCAUACGACCUACGGGUGAAAGCAGGGGAUCUUCGGACCUUGCGCGAUUGAAUGAGCCGAUGUCGGAUUAGCUAGUUGGCGGGGUAAAGGCCCACCAAGGCGACGAUCCGUAGCUGGUCUGAGAGGAUGAUCAGCCACACUGGAACUGAGACACGGUCCAGACUCCUACGGGAGGCAGCAGUGGGGAAUAUUGGACAAUGGGCGCAAGCCUGAUCCAGCCAUACCGCGUGGGUGAAGAAGGCCUUCGGGUUGUAAAGCCCUUUUGUUGGGAAAGAAAAGCAGCAGGUUAAUACCCCGCUGUUCUGACGGUACCCAAAGAAUAAGCACCGGCUAACUUCGUG
rnacentral:rRNA from 1 species